GAUGAACGCUGGCGGCGUGCCUAAUACAUGCAAGUCGAGCGAAUGGAUUAAGAGCUUGCUCUCAUGAAGUUAGCGGCGGACGGGUGAGUAACACGUGGGUAACCUGCCCAUAAGACUGGGAUAACUCCGGGAAACCGGGGCUAAUACCGGAUAACAUUUUGAACCGCAUGGUUCGAAAUUGAAAGGCGGCUUCGGCUGUCACUUAUGGAUGGACCCGCGUCGCAUUAGCUAGUUGGUGAGGUAACGGCUCACCAAGGCAACGAUGCGUAGCCGACCUGAGAGGGUGAUCGGCCACACUGGGACUGAGACACGGCCCAGACUCCUACGGGAGGCAGCAGUAGGGAAUCUUCCGCAAUGGACGAAAGUCUGACGGAGCAACGCCGCGUGAGUGAUGUAGGCUUUCGGGUCGUAAAACUCUGUUGUUAGGGAAGAACAAGUGCUAGUUGAAUAAGCUGGCACCUUGGCGGUACCUAACCAGAAAGCCACGGCUAACUACGUGCCAGCAGCCGCGGUAA
rnacentral:rRNA from 1 species